rnacentral:lncRNA from 1 species
UUUUUGGUAACAUUAAUAAUUGGUCAAUUGGUACUGGAAGAUAAAAUAUCAAUUGUGAUAUUUUUAUUACUACUUAAUAUUAUAUAUUAUUUAUAUAUAUUAUAUAGUAUUUGUGUGGUGGUGAUUGGAAAAGAAAGAAGAAGUGGAUAAGAAGGAAGAGUAGGUAGAAAGAGAGAAAGAGAGAGAGUUAUCAGAAAGAAAGAAAAAAAGAAAGGAUAAGAAUAAGAGAAGAGGAAAAGAGAAGAAAGAAGAAGAGAGAAAGAAGGAAGAAAGGCUUGGAGGGGAAGAAGGAAAAGCUCAUCAUCACCAUUUUCUACUCAUCAUCCUCACCAAACUUCAU